GGGGAUAUAGCUCAGUUGGUAGAACGCUUGCCUUAAAUGCAAGUCACAGUUAAUAUUUCCCCA
rnacentral:tRNA from 1 species